CAAAAAAAAAAAAUCUAAAACCCUAAACAUAUCAAUCUUUAGCAUGGAAAAAAUGAGAACAUUAAAACUAGCAACCUAAAAAGCAUACAAAAUCCACUAAUUUAGUUACGAUGCAAACUAACUAAAAAAAUGACUAAAAGUAAAAAUACAUUAAUCUACACAAAAAGUUAUCAAAUUUUAUCAUAAGAUAGCUAAGAUACUGAAUUAAAAUUUAGAAGAAAGAUUAAAUCUACCUACUACUGCAAUAAAACAAACAAAUUUGAGCAAUGAUUUGAUAAAAAUUAUUAUAAUUAACCUACACAAAAUUAAAUGUAAUUUAAAAAAAAAUAGUGAUAAACUAGACAUUUUAAACUAUCACCAUAAAAAUUUGCAACUUAAAAAUAAAUUUUCUAAGGUCUUAUAAAUUGAUGUUGUUCUGAGUAUGGAUCUGCAAGAUAAAAUGAACACUGAAUGAGUUGCAUUGGGCAACAUCUCUGAUACUUAAGUCAGUAAAUGGAAAUGAGAUUGAGAAUAAUUAAAUAGAGAAAAUAACGUACCUGACCAUAGAGGCUUGAGCUCCUUAUAUAGUCAUCGAGUAGACUCCUACUUGGAGUAGGAUUUAGCAUUUGAGAUAAGAUUCCUAAAUUGGAGGAAGUUCAAGAUUUAGCAUUUGAGAUAAGAUUCCUA
rnacentral:misc_RNA from 1 species